rnacentral:rRNA from 1 species
GACGAACGCUGGCGGCGUGCUUAACACAUGCAAGUCGAACGGAAAGGCCCUGCUUGCGGUCUGCUCGCGUUGCGAACGGGUGAGUAACUCGCGGGUGGACUGCCCCUUACUUUGGGUUAAGCCACGGCAACAGGGCCUAAUACUUGAUAGGUCCUUGCUUGAGGUGGUGGGGUGGAAAGUUUAGGUUGGGUUUGGGAUGAGAUCGCGGCCUAUCAGCGUGUUGGUGGGGUAAUGGCCGAAUAAGGCGUUACCGGGUAGCCGGCCUGAGAGGGUGGACGGCAAGGUUGGGACUGAGAUGCGGGCCAGAAGCCUGCGGGAGGCAGCAGUGGGGGAUAGUGCACAAUGGGCGCAAGCCUGAUGCAGCGACGGCGCGUGGGGGAUGAAGGCCUUCGGGUUGUAAAGUACUUUCGGCCAUGAAGAAGCCCUUGUGGUGACGGUAGUGAAAGAAGAAGCACCGGCUAACUACGUG